rnacentral:rRNA from 1 species
AUUGAACGCUGGCGGCAGGCCUAACACAUGCAAGUCGAGCGAGCGGCGGACGGGUGAGUAAUGUCUGGGAAACUGCCCGAUGGAGGGGGAUAACUACUGGAAAAGGUAGCUAAUACCGCACACGCUAAGAUGUGCCCAGAUGGGAUUUGCUAGUAGGUGGGGUAACGGCGCACCUGGGCGACGCUCCCUAGCUGGUCUGAGAGGAUGACCAGCCACACUGGAACUGAGACACGGUCCAGACUCCUACGGGAGGCAGCAGUGGGGAAUAUUGCACAAUGGGCGCAAGCCUGAUGCAGCCAUGCCGCGUGUGUGAAGAAGGCCUUCGGGUUGUAAAGCACUUUCAGCGGGGAGGCGUUACCCGCAGAAGAAGCACCGGCUAACUCCGUGCCAGCCGCCGCGGUAAUAC